rnacentral:lncRNA from 1 species
UUUUUAUACUCAGAACUUCUACAUCCCAUUAUUUAUAAGGAUUUUAAUUUAUUUAUUUUAUUUUAUGUGCAUCAGUGUUGUGCCAUGGGUGUUGCGUCUCCUGGAACUGGAAUUACAGAUAGUUGUAAGCUGCCAUGUGGGUGCUGAGAAUUGAAACUGGGUCCUCUGGAAGAGCAGAUUUCUCUGCGCUGGACUGGGAGGAAAGAGGUAGACCUGCGGAGUUGCUGAGGAAUGACCUAUCCACUCUGUGUCGGAGCUUCCAGGCUGAAGCUAAUGACAGAUUGAAGCGCAACUAAAACCGGAAAUCACCUCGUGUGGGUGUUUCGAGAGCAUUCAAAGAGGCCUGGAUCAGAGUUCCAUCACCACCUGAGGGCUCACACUGUUUCUCUGAGAAUGCAGGUCCCAGCAUCUCUCUUCUAAGGAUGAAGGCAAGGACCACUGUAUUCCACAUUCAGAAGAGGACACCAGAUCUCAUAACGGAUGGUUGUGAACCACCAUGUGGUUGCUGGGAAUUGAACUCAGGACCUCUGGAAGAGAAGUCGGUGCCCUUAACCUCUGAGCCAUCUCUCCAGCCCCGGUUAAUUCACUUUUA